UUAGGAAUUUUCCGCAAUGGGCGAAAGCCUGACGGAGCAACGCCGCGUGGGUGAUGAAGACCUUCGGGUUGUAAAGCCCUGUCGGAGGGGAAGAACUAUGACGGUACCCUCCAAGAAAGCCCCGGCUAACUACGUGCCAGCAGCCGCGGUAACACGUAGGGGGCGAGCGUUAUCCGGAUUUACUGGGCGUAAAGCGCGUUAAGGCGGUCGGCAAAGUUGGGGGUGAAAUUCCAGGGCUCAACCCUGGAACUGCCUCCAAUACUGGUCGACUUGAGUGCGAGAGAGGAAGGUGGAAUUCCCGGUGUAGUAGUGAAAUGCGUAGAUAUCGGGAGGAACACCAGUGGCGAAGGCGGCCUUCUGGCUCGCAACUGACGCUGUAGCGCGAAAGCGUGGGGAGCGAACGG
rnacentral:rRNA from 1 species